AGGAUUAUAGUUAAAAAAAUAACAUUUUAAUUGCAUUAAAAAAUUACUAUAUAAUUAAUCUUA
rnacentral:tRNA from 1 species